AGCAUACAAUGAUGACAACAUAGUUGAACAAACAGUGGUGAGCACACUUAAAUCAUUCGCUCCUAUAUGCUGUAUCUG
rnacentral:snoRNA from 1 species